rnacentral:rRNA from 1 species
CUGCAGCUCAAGUGGUGACCGCUAUUAUUGGGCCUAAAACGUUCGUAGCCGGCUGAGUAAAUGCUUGGGUAAAUCGUGCCGCUUAACGGUACGAAUUCCGGGUAGACUACUCAGCUUGAGACCGGGAGAAGCUAGAGGUACUCCUGGGGUAGAGGUGAAAUUCUGUAAUCCUGGGGGGACCACCAGUGGCGAAGGCGUCUAGCUAGAACGGGUCUGACGGUGAGGAACGAAGCCCUGGGGCGCAAACCGGAUUAGAGACCCGUGUAGUCC